AAGACUAUACUUUCAGGGAUCAUUUCUAUAGUUUUUGACUUGAGAAAUGUGUUUCUAACUUGUAUGGUCUCGCUAACCACGAUGAUGAGUCGUGAUAUUCCUUUCUGAGCGCGAAGCGGGUAGAAGGUAAUGAUUCAGUUCAUACGCCUUCUGUCAUUGAUGACCGUUCAUUACUUCCUAGUGGAGUAUUGAGGGAAGGAAUAUGAUCAGAGUGGU